AGGCUGGAGUGCAGUGGUGCAGUCUUGGCUCACUGCAACCUUCACUUUCCGGGUUCAAGUGAUUCUUUUUUGUGGAUCUUAUUUUCAAAUUGUAGGGAGCAAGGAAAUAAAUACUUUUAGGUAAGAAUAAGUGCAAUCAGUUCAUUAAAACAGGAUAAUAGGAGAGGGAGAGAGAGAGCGCGCGCGCGCGCGAGCGAGCAGUGGAACAGGAUGGCCAGGGAAGAAUUAUUUGAGCAGAUGACUGAUCUGAUGUAGAUGAUGAGAGCCACGUGAAGACCUAGGGGAGAGGCUCCAGGCUAAAGGAACUGCCAUUGCAAAGGUCCUAAGGCAAAAACUAGCUUGGGGUUUGGAAGGUGUGUGAGGGGCAUUGUAGCUGAAGCAUGGGUAGACAAUAAGGAAAAG